AAUUUAUUUCCGGUUAAAAAUACUGCAUGCAUGGUCAUUUUUUCUUCUUUCUUUUGUGUUUCUGCAAUAUUUUGCUAUAAAUUUAUUUUAAAAGAGAAACAUUAUUCAAAAUAAUGUUAUUGUUAUUUUAAAUUCUUCUAUUCUUGAAAAACAAUGGUUGUCGCGAUUGGAUUUGAAGGCAGUGCCAAUAAACUUGGUGUAGGAAUUGUGAAAGAUGGGGUUGUGUUGUCUAACCCACGUCAUACAUACAUCACCCCACCAGGACAAGGAUUUUUACCAAAGAACACAGCGCAACAUCACAGGGAGCAUGCUCUUGAAGUUUUGCAAAAAGCUUUAGAUGAAGCAAAGAUCUCUCCAAAGGACAUAGAUGUUGUUUGUUACACAAAAGGUAUGAUUUGAUAUAGAGAUGCAAAUAAUAGUUCAAUAAUCACUUGGGCUUAAAUCAGAGGAUUUUUCUCCACAGCUGUCAUGUCAGAGUGUUAAAAAAGCUAUAAUCUAUUUGCAAAUAAAGCAAAAUACCUACCGUAUAUGAGUGAACUACAAAAUCAUUGUUCUUUUUAUAUGGUUCUACCAGGUCCAGGAAUGGGUGCACCAUUGGUUUCCACUGCCAUUGUUGCUAGGACUGUCGCACAGUUGUGGGGUAAACCCAUGAUUGCAGUCAACCAUUGUAUUGGACGUAUCCAAAAACAAAGUUCAAUUAUAUAGCUGAUUUUAACAUCUGCCUAUUUUGGUUUAUCUUUAGAAAUAUUUUUAGUUCAUAUUAACAUGUAGUUCUUGCUACAUCUAUAAUUACAUGUAUGUUGUUGACAAGUUGAAAUGGUCAUAUAUUAUUUAAAAAGUUGUGGAAUCCUUAAGGAUAUUGUUCAGACAUAGAAAUGGGGCGUCUGGUUACAGGGGCUGAAAAUCCUAUCGUACUAUAUGUCAGUGGAGGAAAUACUCAGGCAAGUACUGUCAAAGAAUGUUUUAGUACGCUGGUCAGUCAAUUUAAUUAGAUUGGCUGGUCAGUUUGAUGCCUUUGCAUCUUAUAGUCCAUUUAUAGCAUACUAAAUGGUCAUUUAUUGACUUUAUUUUUAUCAGGUGAUAGCCUAUUCCCAGAGAAGAUAUCGAAUAUUUGGAGAGACGAUAGAUAUUGCAGUUGGAAAUUGUCUUGAUAGAUUUGCCAGAGUUUUAAAAUUGUCUAACGAUCCAAGUCCUGGAUACAAUAUUGAACAACUGGCCAAAAAGGGUAAUAAGUUUUUGGAACUACCUUAUGUUGUGAAGGGAAUGGAUGUAUCUUUCUCUGGCUUACUCUCAUUUAUAGAGGAAAAAGCACCACAGCUUCUUCAGAAGGGUGAAUACACACCAGAAGAUCUCUGCUUCUCCCUCCAAGAGACCGUGUUUGCCAUGUUGAUAGAAAUCACAGAGCGUGCCAUGGCUCACUGUGGAUCUCAAGAAGUUCUCAUUGUUGGAGGCGUUGGCUGUAAUAAACGACUACAGGAGAUGAUGGAAACAAUGGCCAAGGAGAGAGGGGCCAAGCUGUAUGCUACAGAUGAAAGGUUCUGUAUUGAUAACGGAGCCAUGAUUGCUCAAGCAGGCUGGGAAAUGUUCCGUUCAGGGCAGACAACUCCGCUCAAAGAUACGACCUGCACACAAAGAUUUCGUACAGAUGAAGUAGACAUUACAUGGCGAAGCUAGCUAAAAAAUUUGUGAUGGGUAAUAACUUAACAGAAAUUAUUUCUUGAACCACUCCAAAUUGGAUUAUCCAUGUAUCUGGCAGCAUACAUAUAUGUGUAACAUAUUUAGGAACCAAAUCCAUUGGACUUGCAAAAAUAGUGACACACAGAAAAAGACACUCUAGAUUCUGAUAUGAAGAGCAUGCAUGUGUAUUGUCCAAUAUCUGGUUGAUAUCUUUCUGUUACUUGUGUACAAAAACAGAAAAAAAGUCAAGAAGUAGGAUACUUGAAAAUGGGGUACAUGUCAUACAAAUGUAUAUGUCUGAAGCAGACAUAUAUCUUGUUUUUUUGGGUAUUCUGAGAUGAAUAUUUGAAUAAAGCUAACAAUG
rnacentral:misc_RNA from 1 species